rnacentral:tRNA from 1 species
GGGCGAUUAGCUCAGGGGUAGAGCGCCUCCCUUACAAGGAGGAGGUCGGUGGUUCGAACCCACCAUCGCCCAC